rnacentral:rRNA from 1 species
AUUGAACGCUGGCGGAAUGCUUUACACAUGCAAGUCGAGCGGCAGCGCGGGGCAACCUGGCGGCGAGCGGCGAACGGGUGAGUAAUGCAUCGGAACAUGUCCAUGGAUGGGGGAUAGCCCGGCGAAAGCCGGAUUAAUACCGCAUGAGCCCGAGAGGGGAAAGUGGGGGACCGCAAGGCCUCACGUCGAUGGGUGGGCCGAUGACCGAUUAGCUAGUUGGUGAGGGAAUGGCUCACCCAGGCGAUGAUCGGUAGCUGGUCUGGAGAGGAUGAUCAGCCACACUGGGACUGAGACACGGCCCAGACUCCUACGGGAGGCAGCAGUGGGGAAUUUUGGACAAUGGGGGCAACCCUGAUCCAGCCAUUCCGCGUGAGUGAAGAAGGCCUUCGGGUUGUAAAGCUCUUUUGUCCGGAGCGAAACGGGGCGCGUGGAUAUCGCGCUCUACUGACGGUACCGGAAGAAUAAGCACCGGCUAACUACGUGCCAGCAGCCGCAGUAA